UACAGAGGGGGCAAGCGUUGUUCGGAAUUACUGGGCGUAAAGGGCGCGUAGGCGGCCUGCUAAGUCGAACGUGAAAUCCCCGAGCUCAACUCGGGAACUGCGUCCGAUACUGGCAGGCUUGAAUCCGGGAGAGGAAUGCGGAAUUCCAGGUGUAGCGGUGAAAUGCGUAGAUAUCUGGAGGAAUACCGGUGGCGAAGGCGGCAUCCUGGACCGACAUUGACGCUGAACGACGAAAGCUAGGGGAGCAAACGGG
rnacentral:rRNA from 1 species